rnacentral:rRNA from 1 species
CACGUAGGGGACGAGCGUUGUCCGGAUUCAUUGGGCGUAAAGAGCGUGUAGGCGGCUCGGUAAGUCCGCUGUGAAAGUCCAGGGCUCAACCCUGGAAUGCCGGUGGAAACUGUCGAGCUUGAGUCCGGAAGAGGCGAGUGGAAUUCCUGGUGUAGCGGUGAAAUGCGCAGAUAUCAGGAGGAACACCAAUGGCGAAGGCAGCUCGCUGGGACGGUACUGACGCUGAGGAGCGAAAGCAUGGGUAGCGAACAGG